AUGAUAAGCAAAGACAUUUCUAGACAAGUGCCGAGGACCAAAUCCAAGUCUCUGCACAUGCUAGACAAAUGCUGCCCCGCUGAGUUAUGCCAGGGAGGCUUCGAACACAAGUUCCUGACUCCUCCUGCUUCUUCCUGAUUCUGUGUGUGUGUGUGUGUGUGUGUGUGUGUGUGUGUAGCUCUUUCCCUUGGCAUCUUUUUGGGUACUGUGAUGAUGGAGAGGUUCUCAGAGCCUUCCUUGCCAAGUCUGGUCCUGCUGCUGGCUGCCCGCUGGGAGCUGAGGUGGAGGUUGUCUGGUGGACUAUACCAGCCAGGCUCGAAUUAUAAUAAUCUGAGCAGACAGAAUUAUCACAAGUGGUUAUGAACUGCAGUGAGGGCUGGAGGAAGGAGAGGAGGUUGACAAGAGGUAAGACGGUAAACUCAGGAGCUGAGGUGAUAGGAGAGGCUUGGGCUGGCCUGGUGCUCUGGUGACCCUUGUCCUUCACUUCACUGGACUGAGGGUGACCUAGGGUGUCUGUGAAGCACAUCUCUGGUUGUGUCUGUGAAGGGGUUUCCAGAGAUAAUUUACUAAGGGGGAGAAGACCUACUCUGAACAUGGGGUACUGUCCCCAAUCUAGAGGACUGGAUAUGACAGGGGAGAGAAGAGGAAGUCAGUCCGGUGGAGACUCUCCCCUCUCCUUAAGGUCACAGCUUCAACAUGGCUUCCCUCCAUCUCUGGCUUGCAUCCUCCUUCCCAGAUUCCUUUUUUUCCAGACCUAAGGCCCAGGGCUCUUUGUAGAGCCCUUUGCCUGUUUCCUCCAAACUCAAACGCUCCUCCAAAAAGGAGAAGGGAGGCCCACAAGACUCAGGAAGACAGUGGAGAGCCAGGCUCAGAGGACCCCCAGAUUCACAGGCCUUGCCCAAGGCUAUAAAGGUGGAACUGACAGGGAGCUCCAGGAUUGUGUGUGUGUGUUUGUGUGCAUGUGUGCAUGUGUGUGACUGCCCAGGCUGCCUUUGCUCUACCCACACUCCUGUACACAUGGACCUGUGCAAGCAUGUCGACUCCUCAGGUACAUGGGCUUUCUUAGAAACACAGCUUUUUGCUGUUGUAGGUGUUUUUCACCACUACUUUAUCUGGGUGACUAUUCGGGCAUUUGCUCACAUCUCUCCAGUCACACAGCACGUGACUAUGGAGCUGGGGAUGUGGGCCUAGAGACCAUCACUGGAGUCUCUAAUACUUGAGGCUACAGUGUCAACCUUGGAUAAGUGGAAGGAAGGUUGCUCCCUGGUGUGCUCUGUGUCUUUCUGGGGUGCCCUGUGUGACACUGUGAUGAGCCUCCUGAGGUUGCCUGCCCUUAAGGUCUCCUCCUCAAGUCCUUGGGAAGAAUUAUCAAUGUCCAAGAGCAGCUUCUAAGAAGGGAAGAACCGCAAGGCCCCACCCCCUGCGGGGCUUCUGUCCCUGCAUUUGCUGAGUAAUGAGAACAUCUGAGGCCCAGUAGGGGAGCAAGCAAAGGGGACUGGAAGAUCUGAAAUGCACUGAGUGGUGAAUCAGGGCCACGGUAUGGCCUAGUAUACUCUUUUAGAGAGCCUGAGGUCGCCUUGGGGGAGGAGGGAGCACUGGAAGAAGGGACUGUGUUCUGUGGAGGCCUCUGACUGCUGUGUGGUAUGAGCAAGCUUCAUCCUGCUCUGAGUUGUGUAAAUCAGUGGCUUCCAAAAGGAGCUUCGUGCUGGUUGAUUCCUUUUUACACAGUGGGAUUUGGCUUCAUCUGAAUGCAAAGAACAAGGCAGGCUUAUCAACACUUUGCAUCUCCUGUGUAUGUGAAGCCACCAUUAACUGUCUUACACUGACCUCGAGGUGCAUACUUAACUCAUUCAUGUAGGCUGAAAGCAUCACCCGUGAGCUUAUCAGGGUCUAUGAGGAACACAUGGGCACAGGAGCAGAUUAAAACUAUAUCAGAAAACCCGGACUACGAAUUUAUUCAACACACCAAGAACAGUGAAGGUUGUUCUGUCCAUGCAGACCUGACCUUGGGUCUCAUCUGACUGGACGGCUGGCAGGUAGGGUUGUCAAUGGUGUACUUUCUGCCUUCCUAAGAGCCCACAGCGACCUGUGUUUGUGUCAUCUCUUUGCCUCCUGUAAGUCUUUUAUGAACUCUGCUGCCUCCUUAACUCCUCUGCAACCACUCUGUCACACAUGCAUUGUGGUGUGAAUGUGUUGUGUUAUCUGAGGAGUAAUGUUAGUGUCCAUUAUCAGAAUAUAAAGGACCUGAAGCUGGGGGGGUUGGUGGUACAUACACAUAAUCCAAUCAUCCAGAAACAGGGGCAGGAGAACCAGGAGUUCAAGGUCAAUUUUGGCUACAUAGUGAGUUGGAGACCAGUCUAGAUGAGAUGAGACCCUGUCUCAAAAAAUCAGCCAACUAACCAACCGAUUAUGAUUGCCAGUGGCCACACUAUUUAGGAAAAUCAGAAUUACUAGAUAAAUUACAGUCAAGAAUACUGGUAUAGUUAAUUAAUUUAUUAUUCUUCAAUAAAUCCUGAACUUGUUGAAAG
rnacentral:lncRNA from 1 species